GAUGCCUUCACCCGAUUUCAUCCUGAAGUCCUCAAACUUCUUCAUAUCCACUGUCAGCUUGUUGUCCUUCUCCUGUUCAUCACCUUCACC